rnacentral:lncRNA from 1 species
UCUUCUUCCAUAUCUGCUUUAUCAGCUAACAACAGUCAUGAUUGGCUGCCUCAUCACCUGAACUUCAAGAUACUUCUGCAGUCUUCAUCAAAUCCUGCUGUCUG